rnacentral:tRNA from 1 species
AAGGCUUUAGCUUAAUUAAAGUGUUUGAGUUGCAUUCAGGUGAUGUGGGAUAAGACCCUGCAAGUCUUA